rnacentral:misc_RNA from 1 species
GAUGAAGAACGUAGCGAAAUGCGAUAAGUAAUGUGAAUUGCAGAAUUCAGUGAAUCAUCGAAUCUUUGAACGCACAUUGCGCCCCCUGGUAUUCCGGGGGGCAUGCCUGUUCGAGCGUCAUUUCACCACUCAAGCCUCGCUUGGUAUUGGGCAACGCGGUCCGCCGCGUGCCUCAAAUCGACCGGCUGGGUCUUCUGUCACCUAAGCGUUGUGGAAACUUUCGCUAAAGGGUGUUCGGGAGGCUACGCCGUAAAACAACCCCAUUUCUAAGGUUGACCUCGGAUCAGGUAGGGAUACCCGCUGAACUUAAGCAUAUCAAUAAGCGGAGGA